CACACAGAGUUGGACAUGACUGAAGUGACUUAGCAGCAGUAGCAGCAGCAACGGGUAAGUGCAUGGACUCCAGCGCAAGACUCCUCGGGUUCAAAUUCUUCUCUGUCGUUUCUUAGCCAUUCUUGGGGGAAUCCUUGGGAGGUGUAAAAGAGUUAAUAUUGAAAACACUUAAAACAAUAUCCAGUUUGAGGGAGAUGCUAAAUAAAAUACUCAGAUCAACUACUAAUUGGAAGCUGGAGCCAGAACAUAUUUAAGCAAACAAAAUUUUUUUUAAAUUAGCAGCCUAAAGUGUAAUUACGUUAAGCACCUUCUGUUUAAACUCAUUCACACAAGUAUUUGUCUUUUACAGGCACUCAAAUGUCAUCAAUUUGUGGGUGGGGGCAAUGGUGUCUCUUUAGACACUACAUCCUCCAAGGAGUCAGUGGUAACUGGCUCUGAACUCCUGGCUGGUGAAUUUUAUCUCUGAUUAGUAUGCAUUCUUUCCAGCAUGACAUGAAACUAUGAGAUGAAAUUAGCUGCCUUUGUGCUAAUAAAAUAAUAACUGAAAUAUUAUAGCAAAUGAAUUUUGUGACAUUUCACAUAUAGUCUUUGAGCUCAGGGCUUUUACAAUGAAGUUCUGCCCUUUCCCGUCUGCAUCUCUUCAGAAAUGCUCUUGAUUUUCCAUUUACUGGAAAAUAUGUGACUCACACAAGCCAGCAGAGAUCUAUACCUCAUUAUCUGAUCUUGUUUUAUGGUUGAGUUAGAACAAAAUGUUAGGUCUUUUUCCAUACAAUAUAAGUCUUUCGGUGAAGAACAUUAAAUUUGAGUAUCUCUGAUUAGUGAAAUGAGAGAUUUUAACAGUGAUUUCAGGGAGAUGGAGAUUCAUAGUACAGAUUAAAAAGUCAAGUAUCUUCUGUGAUAUAACUUAUCUGUAUGCAUUAGCUAAAGUUAUAGAAAGUGAUGCUAGACUUGUGCGAAAUAGAUUCCAGUUAAUGGACCAUGAAAUGAUGAGGCUUCAUUUUUUUUGAAUUACAGGAAUAUACUGAAAACCACUGCUCUGUGUCCCAAAGCAGAUUUUACUCUGAUAGUAAAAAUGUGUGAAAACUCAUGUUGCUAAUAUGUGCUCUCAGUGUGUUUUCAGGAGGGAAUGUCAAUCAUAAUUAGUUACUUUGAUCUCAAAGCUUCUUUGUAUCUGUAAGAUUCUGACUCUGAUUACUGAACACCCACAUCAUGGAAGGCACUGUUGGCUUUUAUACCAAAUGUUGAAACAGGCUCCAGAAUUUCCCCAGGGACCUUCCUCCACACAAGCAAGCAUACUCUUCAGUCACUGGAGCAUUCUUUGAGUAACUCAUUGUGCCUUCAAAGAUACAUCAUUCUUCUAUAAUGGAUUGUCUACUGAAAUGAAGAUUUCUUGAAAUACUCAACUGCCAAUCCUUUUAACAUUCACAAAUCUUGGAAAAGCCUCUUCUGUUGACUCCUUUUCUUGUAUCUACUUUAUUAUCAACCAUCUAAAAAUUUGGAGAGGGCUUGGUAUCAUUCAAACUGUUAGAUACAUGAAGUAGCUUGGUGGUUAUUUUAAGAAGUAUGAAACAUACCAUGCUUUACCCUCAGUAGGGUUCACAGAAUAGUAUUUGAAUGAAUUUGUUAAAGUUUGACAGAUUUAGUUUAGAUAUAAUAGGGAAAAAGUUACUGGAUUAGGUCAAAUGUAACAUUUGAGAUACAAAAGGAGGAGUAUUCACAGUUAAUGGUUGUCAUAAAAGACACUUCAAAUUGGACACAUAUUAAUAAAGAGGAUGUAAUUAAUGUAUCCUCUAAUACUGCAUAAGUCGGUUAAGAAAUGUUGAAGAUGAAAGUAGAUUUU
ensembl:lncRNA